AUGUUUGAUGCAGGUCUGUCACGACCGGCGAGAGGACGUACUGCAGCAGCCGUGUGCAGGGAUGACCGGUGCUUCUUCCUUGGGAGCUCCGCGUUGGUUGUACAAGGCAUCCUAGAUUCGGCUACACUUGAGGCGAUCGUGUACAGAGAAGCGUUCUCCUUAGCGGAAGAUCUGAACAUUCAGCUGAUGGUUAUUGCAUCUGACUCCAAGCAAGUGGUAGGUGAUAUAAACAUAGGCAACCGAGGAAGAUAUGCUUACGGGAACCGGCAGCCCCCGCUCCGCCAUAUCCCUCCAUUCCCUUCGUCGCCGCCUCGCCGGCCACUUCGAGGCGGUCGGCGAGCACUGCACCACGCGCGGCUCGAGCUCACUCUCCGAAGAGGCCACGGACGCAAGCACCUAAGCUCACGCACGAGGAUCCCGGAGCUCUCCUGGCCGCGGCGUACGCGUCCGGAGCUCGUUCAGCUGUGUGCUGUGCGCGCGGUGUCUACGGACAUGGACGGCUGCGUGAGGCGUGUGUGUGAGUGCUUGACCGCGUACCUGCUGCUCCCGAGCGGCGCUGAGCCGGCGUCCCCUUGGGCCAACGCCGGCGUGCGCGUCGGUCUGGGGCACACAACCUGUUCGCUGAAAUGCCUGAAGGCCGGACAAAUAGAGAUUUUUUUAGGUCCGCUUGGUGAUCCGCUUUGCAGAUGCCCGUACCGGCACAUAAGAAGCGUGAACAAACAACCCAGCAGAAUGAGCGGUUGCCUACAUAGCAGCGCACAUGAACGUCACGGAUCACCGCGCCGCGAGGCGAUUUUCAGCAGCCGAGGCAGCCAAAAGCUGAGGCUGACGGCGGCGCUCCGACGGGAGGAGGUGCGGCACAAGCACACAUGGCACACGGGGGCGGCAAUGAGGAUGGAAUGCUGA
rnacentral:rRNA from 1 species